AGCGCAGGCGGUCUUUUAAGUCUGAUGUGAAAGCCUUCGGCUUAACCGGAGAAGUGCAUCGGAAACUGGGAGACUUGAGUGCAGAAGAGGACAGUGGAACUCCAUGUGUAGCGGUGAGAUGCGUAGAUAUAUGGAAGAACACCAGUGGCGAAGGCGGCUGUCUGGUCUGUAACUGACGCUGAGGCUCGAAAGCAUGGGUAGCGAACA
rnacentral:rRNA from 1 species